UGCAGAGGGUGCAAGCGUUGCUCGGAAUCAUUGGGCGUAAAGGGCAGGUAGGUGGUCUCAUUUGUCUGGGGUGAAAGCCUUCGGCUUAACCGAAGAAGUGCCUCAGAAACGGUGAGACUAGAGUCUUGGAGAGGUUAGCGGAAUUCCCGGUGUAGCGGUGAAAUGCGUAGAGAUCGGGAGGAACACCAGCGGCGAAGGCGGCUAACUGGACAAGUACUGACACUCAACUGCGAAAGCGUGGGGAGCAAACAGG
rnacentral:rRNA from 1 species